GAUGAACGCUGGCGGCGUGCCUAAUACAUGCAAGUCGAGCGAACAGACGAGGAGCUUGCUCCUCUGACGUUAGCGGCGGACGGGUGAGUAACACGUGGAUAACCUACCUAUAAGACUGGGAUAACUUCGGGAAACCGGAGCUAAUACCGGAUAAUAUAUUGAACCGCAUGGUUCAAUAGUGAAAGACGGUUUUGCUGUCACUUAUAGAUGGAUCCGCGCCGCAUUAGCUAGUUGGUAAGGUAACGGCUUACCAAGGCGACGAUGCGUAGCCGACCUGAGAGGAUGAUCGGCCACACUGGAACUGAGACACGGUCCAGACUCCUACGGGAGGCAGCAGUAGGGAAUCUUCCGCAAUGGGCGAAAGCCUGACGGAGCAACGCCGCGUGAGUGAUGAAGGUCCUCGGAUCGUAAAACUCUGUUAUUAGGGAAGAACAAAUGUGUAAGUAACUAUGCACGUCUUGACGGUACCUAAUCAGAAAGCCACGGCUAACUACGUG
rnacentral:rRNA from 1 species